GUGCGAUCGAAUAGCCCAAGGAUGAGCUAAUUGAGAUUUGAUGGUUCAGAGGUGUGUUCGGGUGAUAAUCGGAGUGCAUAUCCGAUCAGGGCUCGGAUUCAGUUCUUUAAAAAGACCUGUGGCAGCGAACAGAGGGCAGCAUGAUGUGGUGUGUUUGAUCGAGGACCCAGAGUAGCAGCAGACUGAGAGGAGUCGAUAGAGAAUAGAGACAGGGGUGCUUCAAGUAGACUGUCAGGCAGCAGACAGCAGGUUGC
rnacentral:lncRNA from 1 species